GCUCCUGUAGUGCAAUGGAUAGCUCGUUGAACUUCUAAUGCGAAAGUCGUGGAUUCGAAUUCCACCUGGAAUG